rnacentral:rRNA from 1 species
GAGGAAUAUUGGGCAAUGCCCGCAAGGGUGACCCAGCAACGCCGCGUGGAGGAUGAAUGUCGUAAGAUUGUAAACUCCUGUUAGAGGGGAAGAAUAGUACCGGUUGGACCGGUAUAUGACUGUACCCUCAGAGAAAGCCCCGGCUAACUACGUGCCAGCAGCCGCGGUAAUACGUAGGGGGCAAGCGUUGUCCGGAUUUACUGGGUGUAAAGGGCGCGCAGGCGGGAUAAAAAGUCAGUGGUGAAAUCCUACAGCUUAACUGUAGAACUGCCUUUGAUACUUUUAUGCUUGAGUUCGGGAGAGAGAGACGGAAUUCCAGGUGUAGUGGUGAAAUACGUAGAUAUCUGGAAGAACACCAGUUGCGAAGGCGGUCUCUUGGUCCGACACUGACGCUGAGGCGCGAAAGCGUGGGGAGCAAACA